CAGUCGCCGCGGUAAUACGAAGGGGGCUAGCGUUGCUCGGAAUGACUGGGCGUAAAGGGCGCGUAGGCGGCGAUCAAAGUCAGGCGUGAAAUUCCUGGGCUCAACCUAGGGACUGCGCUUAAUACAGGCAGUCUAGAGUGAGGAAGAGGGUUGUGGAAUUCCCAGUGUAGAGGUGAAAUUCGUAGAUAUUGGGAAGAACACCGGUGGCGAAGGCGGCAACCUGGUCCCUGACUGACGCUGAGGCGCGAAAGCGUGGGGAGCAAACAGGAUUAGAUACCCGCGUAGUCCCUGUCUCUUAUAC
rnacentral:rRNA from 1 species